rnacentral:sRNA from 1 species
AAGCAAAACAAUGGCAUUGCUGUCAAGCACAGAAAUGAAGUUUAAGAUUUCAGUAAUAAGUGGUUACUCAAAAAGGGUCAGGGAACCUUAGAGUGUAAUCCAGACACAUAUAAGUUGGCUUGAUUGUGAAAUGGACCAUCCUCACAGUUAAUGGAGGAUACUUGAAAAGCUAGGCAGAAAUGAUCUACAGUGACCAUGUGGGUGCAAGACAACUACUUGAGACAAGAGAGGAACAUUUAUCCUCCAGGCUUCUCAUACUUACUCAAGCAGAAAGACUCUGCAUGGGGAGAAGGUUCUUUACAGCAUUCCACAUUUUUAAUGAGCUUCCUUGCAAAGGCGACUGCAUUUGCCUCCAGACUUGUCAGACACAGUGAGCCGCUCAAGCAAAAUGGAUCUGGCAGAAUCCGCCAAGCGGCUGGGCCCAGGCUGUGGCAUGAUGGCCGGAGGCAAGAAGCACCUGGACUUCUAGGGAUUCCUCCUUAGUCGCUGCAUGCAGAAUUCUGUGACACUCUAAUUAUGAUUGCUAAUAGCUUAUGUAAAUAUUUUUCUUAACAAUUUGACCCUCCGCUCCUUGAAA